rnacentral:lncRNA from 1 species
UAUUUACAGAUUAGAAGGCAGAAAUUCUAAGACUGUUAACAGUUGUCAUUGCCUACCAAACUCAUGGAUUUCCAUCAGCAGUUUCUAAAAUUUAUGCUAAUAAGAUUAAUAUCCUGGAUUUAAUGAAACAGUGUCUAUAGAGAGAUCUGAGAUCUGGCAUAAGAUCUGAGAAAUAGGUCCCUGUACUUUUGGAAAUUCUAAGGAUCUCCUUUCAACACCAGUAUUUUCUGUGGUUACAGAAGCAUCUUCAGUCAGUUGUCACAAGAGUCUGACAUCUGUUUUUCUUGAAAAAUACUUUACUACUCCUGAAGGAGGAAGCUGUCCUAUUACACAGUAA